UAGCACGAAACUUUUCGAAAAUGCGAAUUAUUGCGAAAUUCUACGUAUUACCGAAGCUUCAGUUGAAAAUCACGAAGCGGUGGAUAAAUAUUUCAAAAACAAGAAUGUUCGGAUAAUGUGUAUUUAGAAUUGAGCAAAAAAGUUUUAGAAGAGACGUGAAGCUGAGCAGAGAGAUUAUCUCGUGAUCAGAGCUUGCUCAUGGAGCAAAAUCAGAGAGAACUCGAAAAUUACAGUGAACCAACUGAGGAAACAACGCAAAUGCAUCAAAAUGAAUGAAAAAACCGAAAAAAGAUGACAAAACUUGGCGCCAGGGACAAGAAAAGUAUUCGAAAAUGGCGCAACAAGCCAGAUUUGCGCGCCAAAAUGAACAAA
ensembl:ncRNA K01G5.12 ncRNA